GCCCAAAACUCUCACUUCCCCAAAAAUCUACAUCUUUCUCUUUCAACAUAACAAUGGCGAUUUCAACAUAACGAUGGCGAUUUCAAAUUAACGAUGGCGAUUUCAACAUAACAAUGACUAAGUUUUCUAAAUCUGAGAUUUGAAAUCAUGACUGAUCGUAUUGCUCAAGAGCGCAUCAAACUGCUUGAGGAAGAGAUGUUGCGUAUGAGAGAAAAUCAACAGAGGAUUCUUCAAGAGCGUGUAGAGGCGGAGGUGCAACAGCGCGUAGCGCGGGAGGUCUUUCUUUUGAAGCAACAAAGUGAUGAUCGGUUUAAGUCUAUGGAGGAGCGAUGGACCCGUAUGAUGAGCGAGAUGGCGUUAUCUUCUCGCUCAUGAUCUGGUGAUCCUACUCUCCCUAACAGGGACUCACCAAAUGCUCAAAUGUUUAAUAUUUUCAUACUUUAAUUACUUGGAUUCUUUAAGUGUUGUUUUUAAUGUUGUGAGACUUACCAAAUGCUUAAGUGUUGUUUUUAGUGUUGUUAGACUUUCCUUAAUUGGAUGCUUCGUAAGUUUUAAAAUAUU